rnacentral:rRNA from 1 species
GAUGAACGCUGGCGGUAUGCUUUACNCAUGCAAGUCGUACGAGGGUUUUUAACUCUAGUGGCGGACGGGUGAGUAACACGUGAGAAUUUGCCCUUUAGGAGGGGGAUAACAAUUGGAAACGAAUGCUAAUACCCCAUAUGCUUUUGAGUGAAACGGAUUUAUCCGCCUAGAGAGAAGCUCGCGGCUGAUUAGCUUGUUGGUAAGGUAAGAGCUUACCAAGGCGACGAUCAGUAUCUGGUUUGAGAGGACGAUCAGACACACUGGAACUGAGACACGGUCCAGACUCCUACGGGAGGCAGCAGUGGGGAAUUUUCCGCAAUGGGCGAAAGCCUGACGGAGCAAUACCGCGUGAGGGAAGAAUGCCUAUGGGUUGUAAACCUCUUUUUUCAGGGUAGGAAGUAAAAUGACA